rnacentral:lncRNA from 1 species
GGAAAUGGCCGUGGACAUUUUGGUGUAUUUUUAUUCAACUUUAAAGACAUAUUUUAUUUUUACAUAUUUUAUUUUAUACGGUAUAGACAUACAUACGCAUACAUGCUUCCUCUCAUGACAUUAAACUUUUGCACAACUUCACAAUUGUAAAUGGUCACAGAAAAAUGCCUCAAAAUGAAUGUAUCAUAUCCUAGCCCCACCACUUAACCUCUCUGUGCCUCAGUUUUCUUCUCUGUAAAACGGGGAUAAUAAUAGUAUCUACUUUAUAAGUUGCUUGUAAGGGUUCAAUGUGAUUAUGGUGUGAAUGUGGGAAGUGCUCAGAAAGUAUCACUUUCAUUAUUAUUAGAACUAUUAUUCCUUAAUUGCAAACAUUUAAAUUCUAAUUUUAUUCUAUUGCAAAUGACACUGUAAUGAAUCUUUCUGCUUGGGAGGGUUGUAUGGGAAACUCCGGGAGCUUUCUUCACCCCCCCAUCCCCCAAACUAAGCACAACAGGGACAGAGAGAGCGAGGUGUGCUGGGAGGCCCCAUGGCUGAAAGUUAGGAGAGCAGAUCUUGGCACUGGCAGCCUGGGGAAGGAGGGCAGAGGGGUGGGGGUGUGGGGAAUGGCAUCUGUGAAAGCUCAGAAGCUUCUAGAAGAGCAUGGGAAGUUCUGAUGUGGUUGCUGGGGUGGCAAUUCUUGUCCCUAUUUGACCAAUGGGUAACUGAAGGCCAGGAAAGGGGUGACUUGUCUGAUGACGUGGGUGGGCACCAAGUCUGAGCUUCCUGGCUCUCCACAUGCCUGAAAAACAUCUGUGUUUGAUGGGAGAAGGAGAUGAAGAAGAGGAGGAGGAGGAAGAAUUUGGGGCUUUCGAAGCUUGCAUGCCUGUGAGCCCCUGCCCAAUCAAGGUUCAGCUGUCCCGCAAAGCAACCCAGCGGGUCCUGUGAGCUGGAGGCCAGUUUGCCCUGUUUGUCUCCACGGGUCUUUUCCCUGAUGUCUCCCAAACACAGACCCUUGGGCUGGCAGCUGGCAGGUCUCCUGAGCUCCACCCUCACCUCCCAUCCCUUCAACCCAGUGGCCUUGCAGACAAAGGCUGGAAAGCCAGGUCCCAUUUCCAGUCAUCAUCCACAGUGCAUAAUUAGGCGGUGCCUGCCUUGUGUUUAUUUAAAGAAGGAGUGUGACCUCGGCAUCAGUGCUUCUGCCAAGAGGGAAGAGCCCAGGAAGGCCCAGAGAAAGCUGGGGGCUUGGGCAGCAGGGGUUUGAGGCCUGAGAGGCCAGGCCGGCCUGUGGUAUAGGCAUCGACAAGCAAAGUUUGAGGACUCCUGAAAGUUCUCCAAAAUCUUACCUGCUGCCUGUCACCAUUCUCAGUCCAUUAUUAGAACUGUUGAUUCUCAAUAGCUUUCUAAGCUCCAAAGAAAAUGCAAAUUAAUACUUCUUGGAGCACUUCUAUCCUUUAUGGUCUGAAUUUGAGAACAUUGCAAUAGCAGCCUCAUUGCUGCACUAGUCCAAACACUUCUGUGUAACCCUCUUCCACAUGCAGUACUGAGGAGUUCUUGCUGCCUACAGUUUACAGAGGGUGGUCCAAGGAAUAAGAGAUGUCCAUCCCACACGGUGAAAACUCUGCACUCUAGGGCUUGGGAAUUAUCUGCUAAUAAGACCCGACAUUUCUCAAGGCCAUUAUGAGUUAAACCUCAGGCUCAGAAUGUAUAAUGGGGAGGGGAUUCCAGAUACUUCUAGACUAGUCUUCUCAUGGAGUAGAAAAAAAUGUAGAGAAACCUCAGAGAGGGGAAGGGACUUACCUACACCAGUUAAUGGUAGAGCUGGGACUAGAACACAGGUCUCCUGAUUUCAGUCUCAACUCUCUGGCACCAUGUUGCUUCCCUCCACUCAAAGAGCAGUGAGGGGGCAGUCAGCACCAGCUGGAGUGUGGCAAUGAAGAGCUCACAGUCCCUGCCCAAAAAGAGCUUCCAGAGGCUGACAAAGGUACGGGAAUAGGGACUCAUCUGAAUCAGGGUGGGUGGAGUUUAGGCAGGGGUGGGUCUGAAGAACUGUGGGGAACAGGGUGGUGAGACAGACAUCAGCAAAUUUCCCGAGGGGGUUAGCACAGGAGGUUGAAGGAUGAAUGGGACUUCUUCACCAGGAGAGAUAGGGAAAGGUGUUCCAGGAAAAGGGAAGGGCAAACUCAUGGGAAAAGGAGGCUGAUUUCUCCUGUUCCCAGGUUACAGUGCAUUCCCUGCGGGCUUAACCAGGAUCCACAGCGCUCAGUGCAGACCCUCCCACGGCAGGGCCCGAGGCUGUAAUCUGUAACCUUAUGGUGACACAUAUAGUUACAAAGAGAUUGGUUGGACAGGAUGGAUUUUAAUUGAAAAGAGUUAGCCUCUACUGGUGGAAAUGCGGGCAUUGUGGCAAGUGAUGAGAAGAAUCCUUUUUGGGGUAGCAGUGGUGAAAAUGCUUGCACGGGUGCGCUGGCAUGCGCGCAGGGGCACCUGUUCCUUGUUCUCAAUUCUGUUGACUUUCAAAUUGCAGUUUAAGAGCCAUCUUCCCAUGUCCAACUGUUAAGGUGGUCACUACCCCCUCCCUCUUCUGGACCAUGCCAUCCCCCGCUGUGAGUCUCAGUUUCUCCACAUGUAAAAUGAGGCAGGUGGACUCGCUUGUCUUAAAGGCCCCUUCUGCCUGGGGCUGGUUCUUUAGCCCAGUCUCUGCUUCUCCCUCUGGGGGAUGUCAGAGGCGCCCUCUCGUGGUCAAUAUUGGCCAUGCAUCCUUGGACUUGGCGCAGGUUUUUGCUUGGUCUCUGAGGGUGUGUGCUUGUGUGUGCAUGUGCGUGUGAGCGUGCCUGUGUACUGGGAGUGGUUACACAGCGGGUGCGUGACAGGCUCAUGACACAUAGAAUGGAGAGCUUCGCUAACUCUCAGACCCUAAUGAAAACACAGAUAAGGAGGUGGGGGUCAUUUAAAAUAAGGGCAAAACCUGCUAAAAGCUGCCUGGGGUCUUUGCCUGGAACACCUAGAGUUCCAAAAUGCCUUAGGCCACCCAUCUUGCUAAUACACUUUGAGAGCAUCACUCCUCUGCUCAGAAUCUCAUCCUGCCACCCCUCUGCUGAACAGAGUAAACAUCAAACUCCCGGCCCUCCAGAAUACCUGUGGCCUCACUUCUCACUCUUCUUUCCUAUACCACUCCAGGUGAACUACUCCAUCCUUCCCAUCCCCUACCCUCUGCUUAUGCUGGGAUUUUUUUUCCCAGAGCAUCCUACCCUCUCCUUUAGUCCCCCAUAGCACCUUUCAAGAUGUGGCUAAAAUGCCACCUCCUCCAGAAAGACUCCCUGAAUUUUGCCACUUGGAUCUGUGCUCUCUUUCCUCUGAACCUCCUGGCAACUUUGUCUAUAACUGUCUCCUGGGAUGUAGACAGUUUUAGAGUUUACCCAGGUAAUUUAGGUCGAAGAUGUCCUGUUUUGUUCCCCCUACUCAAAAACUGGCUCCAUGUCUGCUUUAUAUCUGGGUCCUUCUAAAUACUGAGCCUUCCCCAUGGCAUCCAGGCAUCCCUCUGCAAGGCCCUGAUUCCCACUCCUUCCCUCUGCCUCCUCCUUCAGUAGGGGCUGCUGUCAUGGAAGGAGGCCUGGCAGUGGAGGAAGAAGACAUGAGCCUUGGGCCAGACUCUUACUGGAUUCCCACCCCAUCUGCCCUGUCUUCAGCAGACAAGUGGGUACCCAGCACAAUGGCUCCAGCUGCUGAGCUGUGUGUGGGAGCCUGGACUCUGGGUGCCCAGAAUGAAGGGUCAGAUCCAGGUCACUGCCUGACUCUUUCUUUCAAGGACAGAAGUAAGAACUACAGGCCUAACAGUAACAUCCCUGGCUAUUUGUAGAAGUCCGCUUGAUCAGUCCAUGCUCUAUAACAUGAAUUUCUCAUACAACCCAUUUUUAGAUGGGGAAACAAGAUCUCAGAGAGGCUAGGUAACUUGUUCAAGAUCACACAGCUCUGAGUGCAAGUGUUCAAAUGUAGUCCCCACUUUCCAUCCAUCUCCAAAUCCUGUGCAGUUUCUGGAAUAUUCUGCUGUCACUGUGCCUUGCAUAAAUCCAGGAUUUGAUAAAUUCCCGGAUAAUAAAAGGCAGGCAUGAAUGAAUAUAUAACCAGCUCUUUCUGUUUGACUUCCACAUUGCCCCAGGCCCACACGCGCACCUCUGCAUGCGGCAAGAGUGACAGAACUGGGUUUGUCUGAGAGGGUGAUGGCUCAGGGGGCCAAAGGGAGAGGUGAACCCUGCAUCCCAGGAGGGGUGAAUUCUCUGAUGUGAAUCCUCUGGGUAGUAGGGAGUAAUGGGUCCUGGGCAUGACGGGGACUGGCACCCACUGAUGCGCUGUUCCAGUUAGGUUGGAGGAGGCUGGGAGGGCCAUCCGACCACAAUGCAGGUCUGUUGCGGACCUCAAGGAGCCUGCAGGGAGUGCAGCCACCUCAGGCACACACCUUGGUGAUAGAUUUUACAGCUCAGCUGCUGAAGCCAUUGAUCAGUGAUGCUCCUCACAGCCAGAGAUCUGAGAGGGGCAUUUUCACAGCCACCGCAGACCUUCCGCCUCCCAGGGCCUCCUCACCGGCCUGGCCUGGAGGACUGUCACUGGCACCUACAGUUAGAGGGAAAGAAGUUUCAGGCCUCUGUAACCCAGGAGAGAAGUUCACCAGUCCAGUCCAGGCCAGGUGUCCAGCUCUGGUGGGUGGAACCGUGUGCCCAGCUGUCCUUUGGCAGAGGGUUGGGGCCUGACCUCUGAAGUGAAGGCACCCACAGAGCUGACCAUUGAGGCAAAUGCUCAGCAUCCUGGGGCAUGGGCACCGGCAGGGGAGAUGAGGGCAUGUGAGAUGUAGGUGCCACUCUCUUGCAGAACCCACCCUCGCACCUUGGCACACAGUGGCUCCACGAGGCCAAGAGUUGGUCUCUUGUUUAUCUGGGUGUAGGAUGUGCACACUGCCUGGAACUGACAGUGUCAGGGACUUCUGCUGGCUAGGACAGACCCCAUGCCUACUCAAUGGCCAUCACCCCUAGGGCAGCAACAUCAGGAUCUGUCUUCCCCAUUGGUCAGGGGGCUUGUGGUAGGUUCAAACCACUGAUGGGAAGCAGUCCAGGCUCUAGUGUUGGUUUUAGGUCUGACUCUCUCACUAACCUGAGCAAGUCCCUUACAUCCCCAGGCCUCAGUUUCCUUAUCUGUUGAGUAGAGAUCAUCACACUGAUGGUGAAGAGGCCUUGUGGUAUGGAGGAUUUGGGUUCAGCAUUUUUUUUUGAGCUGAUUUGAAUCCCAUUUCCCCAGUUAUUUGCUAUACGGCCUCAGGCAAGUUACUCAAUCUCUUGAAGACUCAAUUUCCCGUCUACAAAAUGGGAGUGAAGAAGAAUCUCUUUUUCUUUCCAAGAAACGUACAUGUGAGGAUUCAGUAAGGGAACGCUCAGGCAGCUCUGAGCACAGCAUCUGGAGCGUCACUGUGAUGGGGCAGCACUCUGCAGCAUGCAGGACAGACACACUCCUUCCUCUCUCCUCCUUCACCUCUUCCCCAGCCCCACCCCUCACAUCUCCUUGGCUAAUGGGUCAAGCAGUGGUCAGUGUCUGGCCAACAGUGGAGACUCAAUCAUGCACAGAGAGUGAAAAUGCAGUGCGGACCUCCUGUCCAGGUAGCCCCAACCUCAUUCAUUCACUUCCUGUCCAGGUAGCCCCAACAUCAUUCAUUCACUUCCAGAAUGGCAGGUGCUGUGCUGAAUGCCUGGGAAGACGGCCCCAGUGUUCCUCCCCAAGGGAUUGCCAGUCACAUCAGCACAGCACAGGAUGGGUCCUGCUGUGCCAACGCUCUCUGCAGGCUUGUGGGGAUCCUGGCUGAGAUGUCUGGACACCUGGUUUCAAUCCAGUCUUUGUCAUCCAUUCCCUGUGUGGCCCUCCCCCACAAACUAAAUAAAAAUUUCGUGAGUUGGGGAAGGAGACUCAAGGGGAAGUGAGACGAGAGGAUGGAAGUGAGUUGAAGAGCAGGGAGGAGCCUGGAGCCUGGGCCUCCCUUCUGUCAGAGUGGAAGCAGAAGUGGAAGCAGAAGCAGAAGUCGUCCUGCCGGUGGGUGUGACUGGCCUCACAGAGCUGCCAGGGCAGCAGGAUGCGCCUGAGUGCCCAAGAGGGUUUCCCACAGCCCCAGGUGGAUUGGAUUCAGAAGCAUGUUUCUGAUGUGCUCAAGAGUGUGGCCCAGACAAGGCACAGAGGACAGGAGUGUCAGAGGCAUUCAAACUAGAGCGACUCCAUCCUUAACGGGGGCUGGGUAAAAUGACGCUGAGUCCUGUCAGGUUGCAUUCCCAGGAGGUUAGGCAUUCUUAAGUCACUGGAUGAGAUAGGAGGGGGGCACAAGAUACUGGUUGCAAAGACCCUGCUAAUAAAACAGGAUGCAGUAAAGAAGCUCGCCCAAACCAAAAUGGCGAUGAAAGUAACCUCUGGUCAUCCUCACUGCUCAUUAUACGCUAAUUAUAAUGGAUUAGGAUGCUGAAAGACACUCCCAUCAGCCUCAUGACAGUUUACAAAUGCCAUGGCAACAUCUGGAAGUUACCCUAUGUGAUUUAAAAGGAAGAGGAACUCUCAGUUCUGGGAAAUUCCCACCCCUUUCCUGGAAAAUUCAUGAAUAAACCACUCCUUGUUUAGCAUAUGAUCAAGAAAUAACCAUAAAAAUAGCCAACCAGCAGCCCUUGGUGCUGCUCUACCUGUAGAGUAGCCGUUGUUUUAUUCCUUUACUUUCUUCAUAAACUUGCUUCCGCUUUA